GGUGGCGUAGCUCAGUUGGUAGAGCAGCGGACUGAAAAUCCGCGUGUCGCUGGUUCGAUCCCGGCCGCCACCA
rnacentral:tRNA from 3 species